GAUGAACGCUGGCGGCGUGCCUAAUACAUGCAAGUCGAACGCGCAGCGAAAGGUGCUUGCACCUUUCAAGCGAGUGGCGAACGGGUGAGUAACACGGGGAUAACCUGCCUCAAGGCUGGGGAUAACAUUUGGAAACAGAUGCUAAUACCGAAUAAAACUUAGUAUCGCAUGAUACAAAGUUAAAAGGCGCUACGGCGUCACCUAGAGAUGGAUCCGCGGUGCAUUAGUUAGUUGGUGGGGUAAAGGCUUCCCAAGACGAGGAUGCACAGCCGAGUUGAGAGACUGAUCGGCCACAUUGGGACUGAGACACGGCCCAAACUCCUACGGGAGGCUGCAGUAGGGAAUCUUCCACAAUGGGCGCAAGCCUGAUGGAGCAACGCCGCGUGUGUGAUGAAGGCUUUCGGGUCGUAAAGCACUGUUGUAUGGGAAGAAAUGCUAAAAUAGGGAAUGAUUUUAGUUUGACGGUAUCAUACCAGAAAGGGACGGCUAAAUACGUGCCAGCCGCCGCGGUAA
rnacentral:rRNA from 1 species